ACUCGCUUUAAAAAUAAUGUUGAUGCGUUUGACAUAUUAAAUGCAGUGAAACUUGUAGGAGACUUCCUUCUUCCAAAAAUAGAAUUUAACAUUGACAAAUACAUAUUUAGGACGUGAAAAUAUUUCAGUUGAUCAAAACAGAUAUCGUUUAACAAAAUGUCGGAUAGUGCAGGAUUAGACCAAUCUAGAGACCGUUACCCAAAUAGGCAUUCCUACGGGUAUUACACACCACAACUGUUUCCGCCGCAACAAGGUUAUGUCUGGCAGCCAUAUCCGAUGCAAGCAACCUAUCGACCCAACACAAAUGCAACAAAUAUGUCUGUUCAUCAGCCUCAGACUAGUGAUGCGAUUUACCAAGGAAAAGGCCCCCCGAUUAAAU